rnacentral:rRNA from 1 species
AUUGAACGCUGGCGGCAUGCCUUACACAUGCAAGUCGAACGGCAGCACGGGUGCUUGCCCCUGGUGGCGAGUGGCGAACGGGUGAGUAAUACAUCGGAACAUGUCCUGUAGUGGGGGAUAGCCCGGCGAAAGCCGGAUUAAUACCGCAUACGAUCUACGGAUGAAAGCGGGGGACCUUCGGGCCUCGCGCUAUAGGGUUGGCCGAUGGCUGAUUAGCUAGUUGGUGGGGUAAAGGCCUACCAAGGCGACGAUCAGUAGCUGGUCUGAGAGGACGACCAGCCACACUGGGACUGAGACACGGCCAGACUCCUACGGGAGGCAGCAGUGGGGAAUUUUGGACAAUGGGCGAAAGCCUGAUCCAGCAAUGCCGCGUGUGUGAAGAAGGCCUUCGGGUUGUAAAGCACUUUUGUCCGGAAAGAAAUCCUUGGCUCUAAUACAGUCGGGGGAUGACGGUACCGGAAGAAUAAGCACCGGCUAACUACGUG